rnacentral:rRNA from 1 species
GGGAUAACUCCGGGAAACCGGGGCUAAUACCGGAUGGUUGUUUGAACCGCAUGGUUCAAACAUAAAAGGUGGCUUCGGCUACCACUUACAGAUGGACCCGCGGCGCAUUAGCUAGUUGGUGAGGUAACGGCCUCACCAAGGCAACGAUGCGUAGCCGACCUGAGAGGGUGAUCGGCCACACUGGGACUGAGACACGGCCCAGACUCCUACGGGAGGCAGCAGUAGGGAAUCUUCCGCAAUGGACGAAAGUCUGACGGAGCAACGCCNCGUGAGUGAUGAAGGUUUUCGGAUCGUAAAGCUCUGUUGUUAGGGAAGAACAAGUACCGUUCGAAUAGGGCGGUACCUUGACGGGUACCUAACCAGAAAGCCACGGCUAACUACGUGCCAGCAGCCGCGGUAAUACGUAGGUGGCAAGCGUUGUCCGGAAUUAUUGGGCGUAAAGGGCUCGCAGGCGGUUUCUUAAGUCUGAUGUGAAAGCCCCCGGCUCAACCGGGGAGGGUCAUUGGAAACUGGGGAACU